AUGAAGAGAGGAUGGCUGUGUUCCUGUCCCAGCUCAAGCUACCCGCAGCAAUGUUGGCCGCUCAGGCUCAUGGGAGACCUGGGCCACCAGGAAAGGAUGGGUUACCUGGGCCACCAGGAGACCCCGGACCCCAAGGCUACCGAGGACAGAAGGGAGAAAGAGGGGAACCUGGCAUUGGGCUUCCAGGGAGCCCGGGCCUUCCUGGGACCUCAGCUCCGGGUUUGCCAGGCUCACCAGGGGCCCCAGGGCCUCAGGGCCCCCCAGGACCUAGUGGACGAUGUAACCCAGAAGAUUGCCUCUAUCCCGUGUCUCAUGCCCGUCAGCGGACAGGUGGGAAAUAACACACCUGAGGAAGACGAUUCCUGUCAUAUCUUCUGA
rnacentral:lncRNA from 1 species